UACCGACCUGCAGAUUCAUCACAAAAAUUGGGACUGAAAUCGGACCGGUUCAAUUUGGUAUUCAACCUAAGUUAAUUUAGUUGGUGAACUCGGCAUUUUUUAUAUUUUAGUAUUUAAAUCUCCUUCGGCCCAGUUCAAUCCGGUUGAUCGGUUCUGAAGUUCCAAUGCCCACCCUUAUAAUAUUAGUAGGUUGAUCUUGUCUUUUUUUGACCCCAACUUAUUUUAUCAGUGUGGCUGACCUUAGGCAAUAUAUAGCGGUUAAAGAGCCUUAGGGAGCAGAGCCUGUGGGUUGUGGUGGAAUAGUUAAUCAAUGAAGAACUUUUUUGAUUUGUUUGCUCGGAUGACCGAGAUUAAAAACAAUACAGCGGUGGAGGUUGAAAUAAGAGAGGUCGAGAGAGGUGAUGUCUCGGUGGGAAGGCUAGUUGCUAAGAUGCCACCUGCGGGUCGCAAUUUGAUAAGAGCUAAGAAAUUCCUAGAUCAUAGUUCUUAUACUGGUGUUCCCAGAACCGUUCAUGUCAUCGCAACUGCUAAUGGUACGAGGACCACGACGGUCCUUUCAGCACAGUAUUUCAAUACCAACGGACGAGUCACCUUUCUUCUAGAAAAUGGAAAACUGGUGGCGGAGGCAGAAACGAUCCCCCCAAAAAGCAUCAUCAUGAGGGGUAUUGGGCGUUUCUCACACUCUACACGGGUAUACUCAUGAGUUUGCUGAGAACCGGAUGGAGUUCGUGGAAAUGGGUUUCAAGUUGGUGAAUUUUGUGUUGGACAAGAUAGUAUUUCAUGGUUUCUGUUCAGGUUUGUGUUGCAGGAAGCCGUGACAAUAUGGGCUAGUUUGUUUUUGUUUUGCUUUCAAUAAAACUGCUUUAAAAAGCAGUUAAGAGUGUUUCAUAAUCUGAGUUUUUAAAUGUUAUGUCCCAGUUUUGUAAAAAUUUAUGUAAAAGGGACGUGUUAUUUACU